rnacentral:rRNA from 1 species
CCUACGGGUGGCAGCAGUGGGGAAUAUUGCACAAUGGGGGAAACCCUGAUGCAGCGACGCCGCGUGAGUGAAGUAGUUUCUCGGUAUGUAAAGCUCUAUCAGCAGGGGAGCAAAUGACGGUACCUGAUUCAGAAUCCGCGGCUAACUACGUGCCAGCAGCCGCGGGAAUACGUAGGGGGCAAGCGUAAUCCGGAUUUACUGGGGUUAAAGGGAGCGUAGUCGGCAGCACAAGUCUGGAGUGAAAUGCCGGGGCUUAAACCCGGAACUGCUUUGGAAACUGUGCAGCUAGAGUGCAGGAGAGGUAAGUGGAAUUCCUAGUGUAGCGGUGAAAUGCGUAGAUAUUAGGAGGAACACCAGUGGCGAAGGCGGGUUACUGGACUGUAACUGACGUUGAGGCUCGAAAGCGUGGGGAGCAAACAGGAGUAGAUACCCCGGUAGUC